CGUAAACGAUGAGUGCUAAGUGUUGGAGGGUUUCCGCCCUUUCAGUGCUGCAGCUAACGCAUUAAGCACUCCGCCUGGGGAGUACGACCGCAAGGUUGAAACUCAAAGGAAUUGACGGGGGCCCGCACAAGCGGUGGAGCAUGUGGUUUAAUUCGAUGCUACGCGAAGAACCUUACCAGGUCUUGACAUCUUCUGCUAACCUAAGAGAUUAGGCGUUCCCUUCGGGGACGGAAUGACAGGUGGUGCAUGGUUGUCGUCAGCUCGUGUCGUGAGAUGUUGGGUUAAGUCCCGCAACGAGCGCAACCCUUAUUGUCAGUUGCCAGCAUUUAGUUGGGCACUCUGGCGAGACUGCCGGUGACAAACCGGAGGAAGGUGGGGAUGACGUCAAAUCAUCAUGCCCCUUAUGACCUGGGCUACACACGUGCUACAAUGGACGGUACAACGAGUCGCGAAACCGCGAGGUCAAGCUAAUCUCUUAAAGCCGUUCUCAGUUCGGAUUGCAGGCUGCAACUCGCCUGCAUGAAGUUGGAAUCGCUAGUAAUCGUGGAUCAGCAUGCCACGGUGAAUACGUUCCCGGGCCUUGUACACACCGCCCGUCACCCAUGAGAGUUUGUAACACCCAAAGCCGGUGAGGUAACCUCG
rnacentral:rRNA from 1 species